GAUGAACGCCGGCGGUGUGCCUAAUACAUGCAAGUCGUACGCACUGGCCCAACUAAUUGAUGGUGCUUGCACCUGAUUGACGAUGGAUCACCAGUGAGUGGCGGACGGGUGAGUAACACGUAGGUAACCUGCCCCGGAGCGGGGGAUAACAUUUGGAAACAGAUGCUAAUACCGCAUAACAACAAAAGCCGCAUGGCUUUUGUUUGAAAGAUGGCUUUGGCUAUCACUCUGGGAUGGACCUGCGGUGCAUUAGCUAGUUGGUAAGGUAACGGCUUACCAAGGCGAUGAUGCAUAGCCGAGUUGAGAGACUGAUCGGCCACAAUGGAACUGAGACACGGUCCAUACUCCUACGGGAGGCAGCAGUAGGGAAUCUUCCACAAUGGGCGCAAGCCUGAUGGAGCAACACCGCGUGAGUGAAGAAGGGUUUCGGCUCGUAAAGCUCUGUUGUUGGAGAAGAACGUGCGUGAGAGUAACUGUUCACGCAGUGACGGUAUCCAACCAGAAAGUCACGGCUAACUAC
rnacentral:rRNA from 1 species